GAGUAAACAGUAAUUUCCGUUGAAUUGUGUGGCCUGAAAACUGAAAACUUUGUGCAGAUCGGGCAGAAAUUCAAGCUGCAGCGACGCCUCGAUUCUUAAACAAUCGAACGCUGGCUUUGAGGGCGGCUGAAGGCAAAGGGCGGUAGCAAAAAAUAUUCUACAAAUCAGCAGAAAAAUCAAGCCGACAAGUAGAAAUAUUGGUGCGGGGUGUCAACGACUGCGCGAUACUCUGUUCAAAGCUGAAAACAAAUCGUAAAGAUACUAUUAUUAAGAAGUUCUUGCGUGUAAAACUGUAAGCCCCAGCCAGCGGCUGUCAAACUGUGUUCGCGGAGAUCAUCCAAUAAUGAAUCCGACGAAUUCGAGAAUCUAGCUCUAAAACUGGCAAACAUCCAAUAUACUCAUUUUCACGUUGCGAACAGUGUAUAAAAAUAAUAAACCUUAAUUCGAAGCUUGAAGCUUGAUUCAUUCAUAUAAUAAAUACACACAUACAGACACAGAUACAAAUGCAAAUGUGUAUACAAUACGCGCGGGAUCAAAAAGCGAGCGCACGAAUGAAGAGAAGGAAGCGGGAGCGGGGGGUGUGUGCGGGGGUCUGAUUGAGCCAAUUGAGCUAUGAAAACCGAUCAAAACAGGCCCCAAUUGAAAUAGUUGCCAGGCACGAGCAAAAUGACAUGAAAUGAUAUCCAAAAAAAAAAAAGUGACCGAAAAACCGAACCAAGCCCAUAAAACCAAGAAAUCCAACAAUCACCAGAAGGAGCCACAAGAGGCCCAGGAGAAGGUGAAUGUGCCGUAGGAGGAGGAGGAGAGAAGCAGGCGGAGGCACACACCAGUCAAAUGCCACAGAAAGUCGUGCACUGGCAAUAAUCAUUGCUUCCAGGAUGGCAUGGGAUGGAUCAAAUGCCUCAGCUUGGCGAGAGAAAGGGAGAGGCUGCAGCUGCUGCCUGAUUUUUGAUUUUUUUUUUUUUUUUGUUUCGCUCUUUUGCUCUUCUCUGACUCUAUUUUGUCGGCGAACAUGGAUCUAGUGCACGGUUGUUCAUGAUUAAGUUCGUGACUAGAUUUCAUGCUCGUCUAUUAAGUUGGGUCAACACACACACACACACACAUAAAAGAAAAACAUGGCCAAGAGGCCAUAAUAAAGAGGAGAGCAAUCAGGCGGGGCUGGCGGCCAGGAGUAGCUGCCAUCGGGACACGUCAAUUAGCCAAAACGCAUUAACUCCUUUGUAAUGUGAACGGACAUUAAAUACAUAAUUUGGCCAUAGGAAAAAGGCUGGUGAAAAGUCUACGUACAGUCCACAAAUUGUUAAAGAACAUCCAUUUAGUUAUAUGGAUUACUUUGUGGAUGAAAAAUAGAUGCAGUGUCUGAUUAUUUCCACCCAUAUUUGGAUCGUGAACGUGAAUUCGCUUAAAAGAACAAUAUGUAAUGUUUAAAAUGCUUUAAGGCAGACAAAAAAAGGUUUACAUGAGUUAUAAACUAACUUAAGAACUUAUCUCAACAGCUGACAAAAAAAAAUUCACAUUUUUCCAUCUAGCUUUCGAUCAUGGACGUGGAUUUGCAAGAUCUGGAUUUGAUGCCAAACACAGAUUUAAAAAGAAAAUGGAACAACUCUCAGUUACAUUUUAAUACGUCAUCAAAUUCAAUUUCAGAAAUUUAUAGAAUUUGCAUUUACAAAUUUUCCAUCUAUUUCCAAACGUAGAUUUUGCCAAAUAUACUUCAAGUUGUUUUUGAUUGAAAAGUAAGUUUCAUGUUUGUAUUUCACUCUUGUGCGUGAAAUCUAUUUAAAACCUGUUCCAAAUAUAUUUAACAUCGAAUGAAGUAAAAUAGUUGGCAACUAAAACUCUCCGCCUAUUUCAGAUCAAAAAAAUCCACAAGUCGCUUAUAUUUAAUUUUUUAGUUUUAUAAUAUUUGGCAAUUACAAUAUUCCACCUAUUUUCCGAUCACGAAUGAUUAAACAUCUGCUUCAAGCUGUUUAUAUUUAAGGUGUUGGCAAGCGACGAGUCUAACAGUGCAACUAACUGUAACACCUGCCGCAUUUAAAAUGUUCAAAGUAAAAUUUCAGUUGCCGCGCGCGCACAAAAGAGCCCCGGCGGAACACCUUUCAACCCUGAACGCUGCGCGACCCUCUCGCUGCUUACUUCCUUCUUCAUGCUAUUGAAAUGCCAACGCACUGGAAGGCCAAUAAAAAAGUAACGUUUGUUGUUGUGUGUUAUUUACAUAUUUUCAAAAUGAGAGUGCUGCUAUUUGCAGGCACACACACACACACACACGCACACACACACACACGCAUACACUGAGAGUUUCAACCCCAGCGUGAAAGCCAAGCGCAGUGAAUUGCAACGGCGCAAAAUUCAACCUCGAACUUCGUAGCUGCUGCUGCGCGGCUUUCCCAUUUCCAUUUCCUCCUUCCAUCCGCAAUCCAGCGUCGAGUUGAAGCUGGCGUAGCCGUCAAACGUUAAAACUAAUUGAUAUAAUAGUUAAAAUAACAAACUAACGAGAAAGAAGUUGCCUGUAACAACAGCAGCAGCAACAGCGGCGGCAGCGAAGCCGCAAACAAAGCGAACAAAAAGAGUUGGCUGCGUUGGCGAAGUGCAAAACCUUUCCAAUUUGAAAAUAGCUGUGUGCUCGUUCCCACAAACAACAACAACCAGAAGAAGAACAACAACAACAAGCACUAUGCCUGCAAUUGCAGCGUCAAAUGGGCGAGAAGUGAGCGGACGCUCGGUCGAUCGCCGCAAGCAAGAAGAUGACAAUGCAGCGAUUAGAGCAAAGCAGAACAACGCAACUUGAACUCUGCUCAACGAAGACUCUUCCAGGCAGCAGCAGCUGGAAAAAUGCUUGUUCCAAUGCGCGGCAUUUCCGUUUGCCCGUGUGAGGAUGAUGCUGCAGCGGCCACUUGUACUAUGUUCUGUGCUGUCCAAUCGGCCGGACGGACAAGAAAACUAAUCACAUUUAUUAAAUCAAAAUAAAAUAUCUGCGCAAUUUAUUAAAGCA